rnacentral:rRNA from 1 species
AAUAAUAAUUUGCCUCUUAAUUAGAGGCUGGAAUGAAGGAACAUACGAGAGUAAAGCUGUUUCAUUUUUAUUAACCGAAAAUUAACCUUCAGAUGAAGAGACUUGAAUUACUAAAAAAGACGAAAAGACCCUAUAGAGCUUAACUUAAAAAUAUAUUACAUAUAUCUAAGGUUUAGUUGGGGCAACUGGAGAGAACUAUAACCUCUCCUUUUUUAACUAAACUAGAUCCAAAUUUUAUGAUUAGUGGAAGAAGCUACCUUAGGGAUAACAGGCUAAUCCUGCUUAAG